CAGGCAUGUCUGCCACUCAGAUCCCAAAAUAGUCAUAUGCAAUGUACACCUCUCUCUCUCUCUCUCUCUCUCUCUCUCUCUCUCUCUCUCUCUCUCUCUCUCUCACACACCCCAGGCUGAGUGAGGGAUCAGUUUGUUGUCUGCGGCCGGGAGGACCUGGUCUACAAGGCUUCAUUGCGGAGCCUGAAAACCAGCAAAGAACUUCAGAGAGGAGACAAAUAGAGACCUGCAUACAGAUGAGGAAAGUGUGGAAGAGAAACCAUUCCCUUUUCAUUAUCUAAUAUAUAUAUUUGGAGUCUCAAAGUAGAGAGAUGAUAGAGGAAUGAAUGAUAGUAGAGGGAUAGAUUGAUAUGGUGAUAGUUGAGUGAUAGAUUGGUGGAGAAGUGAUGUAGGGAUUGAAUAACAGAGAAGUGAUUGUGGAGUGAUCCAGUGAUAGUAGCGUGAUUUUGUGAUAUAGGAGUGAUUUUGUGAUAUAGUGAUAGUUGAUUGAUGGAGGGAUAGUAGAGUGACACAUUGAUUGUAGAGCAAUUGGAGAAUGAUGUAGUGAAAAUAGAGCGAUUCAGUGAUAGUAGAGGGAUAUAGCAGUGAUAUAGUGUAAGGAGAGAGGGGUUAUAUGGGGAUACAGUGAGAUAGUAUAUUAGUGAUAGUAAAGGGAGAAAGUGGUAGUACAGUGAAAUAGUGCUAGUAGAUUGAUAGAUUGAUAGUGGCAUAUAGUGACAGUAGCGAUAGAGAGAUGGUGGAGUGAUUUUGGAUAGUAGAGUGAUAGAUAAGUGAGAUAGUGAUAGUUAUAGUAUAGUGAUAGAGGAGUGAGAUUAUAUUAGCGAUGAGUUGUGAGGAGGGGGUCGAGGUGGGAAGGUAUUUCCCAAAGCCACAUGUCUUCAGCAACAACAACAACAAACUUUCACCACACAAAGUGGGUCUGGACACCUCCCACUCCCAGUGCUGUCAACCUUUCUGCUGUGACUCCUCCUGUCAGACCAGGGGAAGGGAGGAGCAGUGGGCACCGGGGGGGCCUGGGGAGGGGAGAGGAAGGGUGGAGCUGGGAGGAGGUGGGCAGGGGAGACUAGGGGAGGAGCAGGCCCCAGGAGGCCCAGGGGAGAGGAGAAGAGAGGAGACGGAAGGAGGUGCAGGAGACUAUUUGGAUCUCCACUCCAGCUGCUCUUCCUCCUGCCGUCCAGAGGAGGAGGAGGAGGAGGAGGGCUACAGCGACUGGUCCGAGGAGGAUCUUUCUCUUCAUUUCUCCGCCUCCAUCAUCCUCCCCUCUGAUGAAGAGUCAGACAGAGAGACGGGGGAGACACAGAACUCCUAGGACCAGGUAGGAACAGUAAACCAAGGCUCCAGAAGUCAUUUUCUUUGGACGAAACAAAAACCAAGUUGGCGUCCUGCAUAAUCAAGGAGGUUUUGUCCAAGAAAAUGCAAGGAGAAAGAGGACCAGCCAAGUAUGCCAGUAAUCUGAUCCCAAACCACCCUAACUGCCAAACCCCAGGCAACCAACCAAAGUUUAGGCAUGGAGUAGGAGGUACAAGCCUGGUUCAGGGUGGACCAGUCCAUAUUGUGAGGGAUAUCAAGAGUCAGGUUCAAACAACGGGCCGCCUCUCCUUCACCAACACUUCCUCCGCUGCAACCACGACACACCACCGCGCUACUGGCUGGAGCCAUGUGACAUACAAGGUGAUUGGCGCAGAGGAUAGCCCCCCCCCAAGCUACCAGCAGGCUGUGGGGGUCAAGGACACCAAGGAGGCCACAAAGAGUCAUCCAUUGACUUCCCAAAGUCACGCUACCGUGGCAACAGCUCUUCCCCAAUCACUGGAGAGACUUGAGGGCAGCAGGUUCCCUAACUGCAGCACUCCAAUCAGAAAACAAGCAGCAGCCAAUCAGACGUGUCAGCUGGGGCCUAUCACUGAGGGGGGGGGGCAGCGUUCCGGGAGGGUCAGGGGUUCGAUUCCCCAGCAGGGAUCAGCUGGGGAAUCUGGAAAAAUUGGUCGGCCUCCACUCCCUGUUUACAACUACACCCCCAUCCUCGGGACAGGGUACGCCCAACCUACGGGCCUCCCCGACACCCCCACUGUGGUCUCCUCUUCCUCUACCCAGCAGAAGGCUAGAGGAGGAAAGGAUCCUCCCGUUCAUACAGACGAUUACAAGGGCUUUAUCAGCACCUCCACCCAGAACACCUCCACCCAUAAGACCUCCACUCAGAACACCUCCACCCAGAACAUCUCCAACAAGUACACUUCAAUUCAGAACACCUCCACCCAGAACAUCUCCAACAAGUACACUUCAAUUCAGAACACCUCCAACCAGAACAUCUCCAACAAGUACACCUCAAUUCAGAACACCUUCAACCGGAAAACCUCCACCCAGAACACCUCCCCCCAGAAUACCUCCACCCAAAGCAUCUCCAACCACCAUGCCACCCACAAACUGGAUCAAACACAACUACACCACCAACAACUACAACAGCAUCAGCUGCUUCAGCAGCAGCAGUUCAUGUUUGCCCUGCAGGGGUUCUGGCCUGGAGGAGGUCUGGUUGGGUUGACGAAUGCAGGGCCUGUAUCCACAAUGCCGCCCACCCAACGCCAGGUCAAAACCCUGUUUGAUCCAGAAACAGGUCAAUAUGUGGAAGUCCUCCUCCCAUUGGCUAACUAUGCCACCGGGAUGAUACCUGUAGGCCCCUCCACCAGUAUGAUACCCGUAGGCCCCUCCGCCAGUAUGAUACCUGUAGGCUACGGCCCCAUUCAGUACGGCUCAGCCCAUAUGCAGGUUGGCUCCGCCCAUAGUAUGAUACCUGUCAGCUCUGCCCCCCUACAUGUAGGCUCCGCCCCCAGUUUGAUACCUGUAGGCUGUAGAGUGAUGUCGUACCAUCCCAUGCCUGUACUCGCCUCAUACUACCCCCCCUUUACUUUACACACACACCCUGGCCCGUAACACACAAACACACCCUGCCCUGUAACACAAACACACCCUGCCCCGUAACACACACAGACAUCCUCCCCUGUAACUCACACCCACACACACAGACUUUGCCCAUUACACACACACCAUACAGUUCCUUUAAUAGACACAUACCUUGUCCUGUAACAUAUACGCACAUAGACUGCCCCGUGAAAACACACUCACGCACACCCCCACACACACACACACACACACACACACACACACACACAGGCCAACACAAUAACACACCAACACACACACACAUCAACACACUGACUUUGAAAGAACGUAAAAAUAUUAAAAGUAUUAGUAUUCCUAUAAAUAGGGCAAGGCACUUACACAGGGUAUAAGGUUUGAUUCCCACUUGGGCCACUAAUGAGUGUUUAAAAAAAGCAUCUGUCAAAUGGCAGAUAUUAUUUUCUUCAUACAACAUUUUUUAAAAUAAUAAAUAUACAAUACAAAACAGGGUUGUAUCUGGUGCAUUAUUGUUUGUGGUUAGUCCUACAGGGUGGUCAGUCCUACAGGGGGGUUAGUCCUACAGGGGGUUAGUCCUACAGGGUGGUUAGUCCUACAGGGGGUUAGUCCUACAGGGGGUUAGUCCUACAGGGGGUUAGUCCUACAGGGUGGUUAGUCCUACAGGGUGGUUAGUCCUACAGGGGUUAGUCCUACAGGGUGGUUAGUCCUACAGGGGGGUUAGUCCUACAGGGGGGUUAGUCCUACCUCUAGUCCUACAUUGUGGUUAGUCCAACAGGGUGGUCAGUCCUACCUCUAGUCCUACAUUGUGGUUAGUCCUACAGGGGGGUUAGUUCUACCUCUCUGGUACUAGUAGGAGAGAUGCGCAAAUAUUGUGCAUUGACCUGGCACUGAAGAAGAGCUUUUCAUGUCAAUGUGAUAACAUGAUCAAUAAAUAUAUUCACAUACACAUUGUCAUAAAGCAGUAUCCUCUGAAAAAUAUAAUAUUGUUUCUUUACAAAUAGAUUGAUUAUUCAAAUGUAUUCUACUGAAUCACAAAAAGACUACUACAUUCAAAUGCCAAAUACAAUUUUAGUGGGGCCAAGUUCUAGUGCACAUGUCAGUGUGCAGAAACUAUUCAAAGUAGUGGGAUACCGGUUUAUCACAUGCAGAAAUGCAAAUCAAGAUAGCCCGACCAUUCACAAUCGUUUAUCUAAUAUGAGGCGGAAAAUACGAUUGUUGUUGACUGCACAGAGGAGUGCAGUCAACAACAAAGAUCGCUUUCUCUGAUGUGGAACGGUUUCCUAAUCAUUCAGGGGUGUGUAGAAUGUUGGAGUAUUUUUACGUCUAUCUGUGUUCACACUUCUUAGUUUGGGGACAGGCCAGUGUUUCUCCAACUGAUACAAGUUGUUAUUUACAACAAUUCUCCAUUUUUUUAACAGAACUUGUGAUUCUUCCUGUCCUGGCUCAAAGGACAUUCUCCGGGCCAUCCUAUACCAGGACUGCUGACUGCUGCAUCUUCUCCAGAUUUUUCCACACCUACUUGGUUGUCUGCUCUAUUUUCUUCCUCAUCUGAAGAACAAAUGACAAGAAACGUGCCCACGUCUCCUGCUGUGGGCCUUCCCAGACUCUCUCAGGACUUCCAUCAGUCCCGGUCCUUGCCAUUCACAGAUAUUCACUUUUUAAGCAUUCCCUUAAGGGUCCAAUUGUAUCGCUCCACUCGGCCCUCUGUUUGUUGGUAGUAGUGGGUGGUAAGAAUCCUUAUUAUGCCCAGCAGUCUGUGUGUUGGAUAAGAAGAUGGUUCCUUAGUCUGUAGGAAUCUCUGAAGGGAUGAUUCCUACAGAACCGUAUCCUCUAUAAGAGGAUACGGUUCUAGGUAGUGUGAUCACAAACUGCUAGGCUGAACCGGUUUCGUGUCUGUCCGUUCUAAGGGAUCUACUAACUCCAUGGCUAUCCAGUUAAAGGCGACGUCCAUGAUGGGUAAAGGUUGCAGAGGAAAUUUUGGAAAAAUAAUGAGUGCCUAACCGCUAACACUCUGAGUGUAACCCAGGCCAAUGUAAUCUGCUGGAAACCCUUUGGGGGGGCAUAGGUUUCCCUCGCCCCCAAAAUGGGUUGCCUAUGGGCCAUAUAUAGCACCCUCUCUCUAAGACCUUGGGGAAUUAGUCACUUAGCCACUCCUGCCUCUUCAGAACUGCAGUACAAUAUCCCCCCUCUAAAGACAAAACUAAACCCCAACGGAACUCCUGUUUCACCCUCUGGUAUCAGGUCGCUUGCUGCAAAACACCUUUCUGGGAUUCCUCUUGCUGCUGUUAUUCCCUCAAAUUACAAGAUGCUUCUACUUGACCCCCUCCAGGAUCUGGCAACUCGGUGGAGGCUACUCUCACUGUGCCUACCAGCCUAUCCCUACCUUUUUUCCUCCUACUCUUCUUUCUCUUUGGCGUAGCACAGUCUUGCAGUUCGGCAAUUUCAUAGUGUAUCUCACUCAAUGCAGUCUAUUCCCUACCAGUAGGUGGAAUAACCUGCUGGUUCUGGAUCUGGGCCUUAGACCUGGUCACUACAUUUACAGGUUUACACAUGUGGGCACACUGGGUUAUCCUUCCCCAAAAUAAUCUGAUGGACUAGCCUAUCUUCAACUCAGGCAACCGGAAUUGCUGACCCCGUACUUCCAGAUAUACCUCAGCUGUAGGGUAAGCCUACUGAUCCCCAUGCACACAUAGGGAAGUUCCCGUGGGGUCUCCCCUGAAUUAAUGUAUGCAUUUCUAAACCUCAGUCUAUGUACUCAAUCUCAUGUUUAGCAAGGAUGGCCUCAUUUACUUUCCAACAAUCAUGGGUAUCAACAGCAGCUAUAGGCACAUAGGCCUUUCCGGUAAGAACUGGAACCAGCCUGACUGCCCAGUCCUCUUCUGGCAUCUGGUAUGCUGCUGCCAACGGCACAAAUAUUGUGUUUGUACUGUUCAGUGUUUUUUCCUUGUCCCACGUCUCAGCCAUCUGUGACUGGAAGUGCAAGCACUGCUGGACCAUGGAUGAUAGGUCCGACCCAUCUCCCAACUAAUCCAAUGGCUAGUGACACGGCUUGGUUGUUUCGGCGCCAUAGCAGAAUGUUAUUUUAUAAAAAAGAAUCUCAAAAACAAAACAAAUCCACCCAUACAAAGUAGCAGCGUCGAUCCCACUUCUGAAACCAAAUGUAGCGUUCGCUGUUAUGCCCCUAGUUAUUGCUAACAGCACCCCCACAAAGGACAGGAUUUAAUGGCAACCACCUUAUUCAUUCAUAGGGCAAAAUAAACCGUCUGCGUUUAUUUUAAUAAUAAUGAUAAUUAUUUCAACUCUGGAAUCGUCCAAGAGCAUCAAGGUCACCAGUGAAAUGGGUAUACAUUAAACAAUCUGAAUGCCAACUGGAUUGGGUUACAGCGAGAGCGGGAGCUGCUUGACUGUAGCUUAUAUACACAAACAAGAGCAAUCAGAACAAACACACGGCACCACUUCCGCUCUACCGGGCCAUCGCCCAGAGACGGUCUUUAGGGAGACGUAUCCUCAACUCUGGUGGUUGGGGAGGAUUAUGUCCCUUGCCUCUGUGUGCAUGCGCACAACAACUUGCUAAAUAUCAUUCAUUGACUAGAUGUUAGAUGAGGUGACACAUGGCCUACUCCUUUCAAACUACACAGCUCCUUAGGGAGUACCAAAGCAUUUUAUAGUAUAGUAUAACUAAAUUCACAUAAAGCAAUCAAAAAAUAGCUUCAUAUAUAUAAUAGCUUCAACUUAAGGGUAAUGAGGUAGCUCAGGGGUUUGACUUGGGUUUGGGUUAACUGUAAUGAGGUAGCUAAGGGGUUUGACUUGGGUUAAGGGUAAUGAGGUAGCUCAGGGGUUUGACUUGGGUUUGGGUUAACUGUAAUGAGGUAGCUAAGGGGUUUGACUUGGGUUAAGGGUAAUGAGGUAGCUAAGGGGUUUGACUUGGGUUAAGGGUAAUGAGGUAGCUAAGGGGUUUGACUUGGGUUAACUGUAAUGUGGUAACUCAAGGUUUUGACUUGGGUUAAUGGUAAUGAGGUAGCUAAGGGGUUUGACUUGGGUUAAGGGUAAUGAGGUAGCUAUGGGGUUUGACUUGGGUUUGGGUUAAAUGUAAUGAGGUAGCUAAGGGGUUUGACUUGGGUUAAGUGUAAUGAGGUAGCUAUGGGGUUUGACUUGGGUUUGGGUUAAAUGUAAUGAGGUAGCUAAGGAGUUUGACUUGGGUUAAGUGUAAUGAGGUAGCUAAGGGGUUUGACUUGGGUUUGGGUUAAGGGUAAAUUGGUAACUAUUUUUGGUAAAUUUGGUAAACAUAAUGAUUGCUGACCGAUUAACUUAAAUAUUCAUCCAAACACACAGAUCUGUGUUUGCAACUGCAAAAUAACUUUUGCAGAAUUUUUAGGACCUUUAAUCCCCCUCAAGAGAGCACUGUAACACCACUUUUACACAUAUGUCAAGUGUAAUAGUGCAGAAUUAAGUAUUUUUUUAGUAGGUUUUGUGUACCAUCACAUACCUCAUGUUUAUCAUGUACCAAUGAUAAAUAAUUAAGCGUCAUCAAUUCAUUUAUUGAUAAUAAUAAUAAUAAUAAUAAUAAUAUAAUAAUAAUAAUAAUGGAAUAAUAAUGCCAUAUGGAAUCAUGUUAUAUGGGAUACCCCUUGAUACAGUAUUCAGAUUGAGAAUUUGGUAAAUGGCCUUUCUAAAAAUAAUAUAAACUCAUAAUCUCUUUUUUGACUUCAUGUAUGUAAUGAAAAUAUUCCCAUUUAUGUAGGUCACACUGUGCUCAAUAAUGAAGUAGCCCAAACUUCUAUGAUUAAUAUUUUGUUUCCGGUGACCUAUCGUAGCCAGAUUAUAUUCUACAAAUGUAUCCAGGGACCUCCAAUUUUAUUACAAAUUAAACCACUCUACUUUACCCAACCCUAAACUAAAGGGUUCAAUACACUCCUGGAAUUCAAGCAGGCAUGCCAGAGAGAUUUGUAAAAACCAAGCAGGAUUAGCAGGAAUCCAAUCAUGAAUGAAUCGGUCACAUCAGCGGACCAGUCUCUUAUACACGUUUUCCAAUCCAUAUUACAUUAUCCUUGUUUUAUAUUAACAACAUCAAAGGGGACAAGAAAUACAACUCUAACAUUGAUUCAUUCAGUUUAUAGGGCUUGAAUAAACCUCAGGCCAACCAAACUCCCCUCCCUGGUUCUUACCUCCCGGUCUCUGCAAGGAGAGACCAGGGGAGCACAUCCUUAACCAAGGGGAGGAGGGUGAGGUCCUUACCCCACCAUGGGGAGGAGGGUGAGGUCCUUACCCCACCAUGGGGAGGGGGGGUGAGGUCCUUACCCCACCACGGGGAGGAGGAGACUGGCAGGAGGAGCUUCCGACAACAGUGUUGCAUUGCAAUGGAGACUGACGAUUGUUUAGUACUGAUGAAAAACAUGUCAAAUGAUGUCUCUCUACUAACGAUGUGUAUACCGUCCUUAUUUGAUAAUAUAAUAAAAUAAGAAAUAAAAAAAAAUAGACAAGUAGCCCAAAUAAACAAUCGUUGCUAUUUUUUAAAGGG
ensembl:lncRNA